rnacentral:lncRNA from 1 species
AGGCCAAUGAGACUCUGUGCUAGGGAUUUAGCUGGGACUUUUAAAUUGUGUGAAGUCCUUUCUUUGUGUAAGUCAGUUGGAGUUCUUUUUCCAUCAUCGUUCUGCCAUGUCUGUCCCCAUGACGGGCAGCAGGCAGAGAAGAGCUCGCUGGAUUUAAUGGAGAUCCUGUGGCCUCAGUGAGGAUGGUAUCCAUGGAGCUGGGCUGGCCGAGGCUGGCUGAUUCUCACUCUCUUCCCCUUCUUUUCUCAGCCCUCAAAAUGUUGUCUCAUCUCUUUGAGGAAAGUGUGAAAAGCAUAGCAUUUGGAGCACCUGUGGGAGGAACAGAAAUGACAAGCAAGGUCUGUGUCUUUUCAUUAUGGACACCUCACCUGCCAGCAGGAGGCUAUCUUCCUGGGCUGCAAAGAACCCUCAGAAUACAGCAGGUCCCCACUAGUUUUCAAAGACUGCAAGGAGUCCAUAAUAGGAUCUCAAUGGAGACUUUUUCCUAUUUUAGAAACUGAGGAAAUAUCUGUGAUAAGAAGAUACAUGGGCAAAAUUAAAAUUCAUUUAAAUAUAUUUCUGGUUUCCCAUCUGUACUUGAAAAAAACAAAUCCUUUUCUAAAGGAGAGGGGGAUGUAUUUGUAAGGUUAAUAUCCUCAGGGAAAAGUGGGGUUUCCAAGACAAACUUCAUGUUUUUUCCCUUCAAAUUAUAACUUGUAAUUUAAUUUUUAUUCACAUUUUGUAUUCAUAUUUUCAUAAAGAAAUGCCAUUUUCAAACACCUCUUUAUCAUUUGAAUUACUGAAGAAAAAGAGCUAAGAGACAAAAUAGGGUAAGGAUUUUUAAGUCUCAUAUUGGUGAUCCAUUGGUCUCUCUCAUCCUCUGACACUCAUUCCUGUUAGCAAUGGCAGAUCACUGUAUCCUUGCAGAAGGUCUGGAAUGAGUAUGUAUCAUAAUUUUCAGAUUUUUAUCUCAGUCCCAAAAUAUCAUCUCAUGCGUUUGUUUCUUUGUUUUUAUUGGAAUCACCUUUGAAAUAGAAGUUUAGGCCUUGAGUAUUAGGAAUAAUUGUCCAACUUGCCUCUUAACAGAAGUUAACAUUAGGUUGGUUGGCACACAGGUCACAGCUCUCUUCUGAGCCCUCCUGAGUUCAGUCUUGUGUCCUGUCAGGCAUAAGUAAAAUUGUGGUUAUUGCUCAAUAGUGAUAACAGCGUCUUAGAAACAGAAGGAAAACCUCUCAUGCUAUAUACUGGGACAAAAAUAAAACUCUAAAUCCAUUUUUCCCUUUGCA